UUUUUUUUUUUUUUUUUUUUUUUUUCAAGGAAAUCCCACGGUCAUUACAAAAGAGUCGUGGAAGACA
rnacentral:ribozyme from 14 species